rnacentral:lncRNA from 1 species
UAAGAAGAUUUUCAUUCUUAACUAUUUUUUUUCCCCGUGCUUUGUAGAUUGGAAGUGGUAUUUGAGGAAAGGGACAUUUUGAUGCAUGGAAUUCUUGCCAGUACUCCAAUGAAUUGCUGAUUUUGUUAUUUGUACCAGCUCACUCUCCAGAGGCGACAGUAGCUCUAGAAGGGAAGAGGAACUUCAGAUGCCCUUGCCUAAACCCUCAGACGUCAGCUGCAGAGGGCAAGCGGACACCCACUCGGAGUCAGUGGUUCCCCGUGCUUGCCCUGGCCUCUUGGGCACCUUUCAGGUAUGACGAUACAGGCAGGGAUCGGCACAUCUAUAGGAAGAGGCCUUGUUUGGACGGAGUUGGUUGAUCUCGCUCUUUUGAAGCUUGAUGACGUUUAGUUGCAGCUAGUUAGCAUAAGGACCCCACCCAGAGCCAGGAGAGAGUGGGCGCAGCGAUUCCGAGUUGCAGCGGUGGGGCGUAUAGCUCCUCUGGAACCCGGGGUCUGUCCUCGGCAAUGCCAUCCUAAGACUGAGUCUGCCUCUC